ACUUUUAAAGGAUAGAAGUAAUCCAGUGGUUUUAGGUACCAUACCCC
rnacentral:tRNA from 1 species